AGAGAGAGCAAUAACAGGUCUGUGAUGCCCUUAGAUGCCCUGGGCCGCACGCGAGCUACAAUGCCGGGUACAGCGGGUCUAACUUCCUUCGCCGAGAGGCGCGGGUAACCCUCUGAAAUCCCUUCUUUCCGACGGGGGAGACAUCGCGCAAGCGUCUGUCUCUCUUCGUUAGUCGGCUCGAUUGGGCCUGGGGCUUGCAAUUAUCUCCCACAAACGAGGAAUGCCUUGUAUUGGCUAGUCACUGAGCUUGCAGCGACUCAGUCCCUGCCCUUUGUACACACCGCCCGUCGCUACUACCGAUUGAGUGUACCAGUGAGAUUCUUGGACUGGCGAACCAUCUUUUCUUUCGAGAUACAGACGGCGAACGACGGAAAGAGACCCGAACUGGUGCACUUAGAGGAAGUAAAA
rnacentral:rRNA from 1 species